rnacentral:rRNA from 1 species
AUUGAACGCUGGCGGCAUGCUUUACACAUGCAAGUCGAACGGUAACAGGCCGCAAGGUGCUGACGAGUGGCGAACGGGUGCGUAAUGCAUCGGAACGUGCCCCGUCGUGGGGGAUAACUACUCGAAAGAGUAGCUAAUACCGCAUACGAUCUAUGGAUGAAAGCGGGGGACCGUAAGGCCUCGCGCGAUUGGAGCGGCCGAUGUCAGAUUAGGUAGUUGGUGGGGUAAAGGCUCACCAAGCCAACGAUGUGUAGCUGGUCUGAGAGGACGACCAGCCACACUGGGACUGAGACACGGCCCAGACUCCUACGGGAGGCAGCAGUGGGGAAUUUUGGACAAUGGGCGCAAGCCUGAUCCAGCAAUGCCGCGUGCAGGAAGAAGGCCUUCGGGUUGUAAACUGCUUUUGUACGGAACGAAACGGCUCUGGUUAAUACCCGGGGCUAAUGACGGUACCGUAAGAAUAAGCACCGGCUAACUACGUG